AGUGAACGCUGGCGGUAGGCCUAACACAUGCAAGUCGAACGGCAGCACAGUAAGAGCUUGCUCUUACGGGUGGCGAGUGGCGGACGGGUGAGGAAUACAUCGGAAUCUACUUUUUCGUGGGGGAUAACGUAGGGAAACUUACGCUAAUACAUCAUACGACCUACGGGUGAAAGCAGGGGAUCUUCGGACCUUGCGCGAUUGAAUGAGCCGAUGUCGGAUUAGCUAGUUGGCGGGGUAAAGGCCCACCAAGGCGACGAUCCGUAGCUGGUCUGAGAGGAUGAUCAGCCACACUGGAACUGAGACACGGUCCAGACUCCUACGGGAGGCAGCAGUGGGGAAUAUUGGACAAAGGGCGCAAGCCUGAUCCAGCCAUACCGCGUGGGUGAAGAAGGCCUUCGGGUUGUAAAGCCCUUUUGUUGGGAAAGAAAAGCAGCAGGUUAAUACCCCGCUGUUCUGACGGUACCCAAAGAAUAAGCACCGGCUAACUUCGUG
rnacentral:rRNA from 1 species